CAGUAUUAUCACGAUAACAUAUCAUAUGUUAAUUUCAAAAAAAUCGGAAUGUUGCAUUAUUAUCCAAUUAUAUCGGAGAUACAAAGAAUAUAUGUCUAUGAAACUUAUACGAGAUUAUAUUUAAUCGGAUCCGAUUAUAAAGAAACCAAAUUUCGUAUUUUAAAAAUUGACAGAACUGAAGAAAAGGAUUUAAUAAUUCAUGAGGAGGAGGUUUCUUAUAAUUUUGAAGAGAUUAAGGAAUUACUUCAGAUGGUGGAUUUAGGAAAUAGAACUAAAGUAGCUCUAAAAAAUCAAAACAAACUCUCAAAAAAUAUAUCAGCAUUUGGAAUUAUAGGAUUUGUGAAAUUUCUUUUUGGCUAUUAUGUUAUAUUAAUAACUAAAAAAAAUAAAGUUGGAUUUAUUGGCCACCACAACAUAUAUAAGAUUGAAGAUACUUAUAUGUUGUAUAUACCUAACAAUCAACAACCACUUCAAAAUCCAGAAGAACAAAAAUUUGUCAAAAUGUUUCAAACAAUAGAUUUAUCUAGCAAUUUUUACUUCAGUUACAGCUAUGAUCUGACACAUUCACUUCAAUACAAUUUUUCAAUAUUAAAACAAAAAGAAUUUUUUGAGAGACUAAUUGAAAAAGAUGCUGCCAAACUUAAUAAUAAAAAUGUAAUUGGAUAUAAAGUUAAGCCAUGUUGGCAAUAUGUUUGGAAUAGACAUUUAUUAACACCAUGGCAUCACAAGGUUCAUUUUGACUGGUGUAUUCAUAUCAUUCAUGGGUUUUUAAAGCAAACCAUCAUAUCUGUUUUUGGUCAAGAUAUUGUUCUAACUCUCCUAGCAAGAAGGUCAAGUUUUUAUGCCGGAACUCGAUACCUGAAAAGAGGAAUAUCCUUGAUAGGAGGUUACACUGCAAAUUCGGUCGAGACUGAACAAAUAUUAGAAAAUUUAGCUGAAAGCAUGUCGUACUCAUCAUACGUGCAAUUUCGUGGAUCAAUACCCACGUUUUGGUGCCAGGAAUCUUCAAAGAUGGUCCCCAAGCCUCCUAUAUUAUUAAACAAUACCGAUCCAUUUUGUUUAGCACCUGGGACUCAUUUUCAUCGUUUAAUGAAACGGUAUGGAACCCCUAUUAUUGUCUUGAAUUUAGCCAAAAACAGAGAAACUAAAAGGGGAGAAGGAAUUUUAACCGAAGAAUUCAUUAAUUCGAUAUGUUAUCUUAAUCAGUUUCUACCGCUUCGCCAUAAAAUUUUAUACCAAGGUUUUGAUAUGGCCAGAAUGAACAGGAACAAAUCAAUUGACGUUAUCAAAAAAUUGGAAGAAAUUUGUUACGACUACAUUAUCAAAACCGAUAUUUUUUUAGCCACCAUUUCCUGCUCCCUCUCUACUAUCAAAUGCAUGUCUCGUCAACAAAAGGGGGUCAUAAGAAGCAAUUGUGUCGAUUGCUUGGAUCGGACCAAUACCGCUCAGUUUGUGAUAGGCAAAUGCGCCUUGACUCUUCAAUUGGAAGCCCUUGGUGUUUUGGAUGAACAAGAUCUAGAAACUUACUCUGAUAUUAAUUGCGGCGAGAUGGAUAACCUAACUAGGAAUGGUGGGCGAUGCCGUAAAUUGACCUUUGAUAGCGACAUUAUAAGAAUGCUUGAAGAUUUAUACGAGGAACAAGGGGACGUUUUGGCAAUGCAAUAUGGAGGUUCUCAAUUAGUACACAGAGUCGAUACCUACAGGAAAAUUUCUCCGUCUUGGACCUAUCAUUCAAGAGACAUGAUGCAAACAUUUUCAAGAUAUUAUAGCAACGCCUUUUCUGAUGCCGAGAAACAAGACGCCAUAAACUUAUUUUUAGGAGCCUACGUGCCUUCCAUACAUUACCCUCCUGCUAUAUGGGAAAUGACCAAUGAUUUUCAUUUGCACAAUUCGUCACAGGCCCAAUUUAUAGAUAACUUUGUUAACCUUUCCGAAAUUCCGGCCAAAGAUUCUAAAGAUAGAUCCUUUUGCAAAUGGUAUGACAAGUCCGUUUUAGAGUGUCUUCCUAUGCCAUACGAACAAGUAAAACUCGAUCCCAAUGAUAUUCAAAUCGAAUAUAUGAAAAACUUCCACGAAAAUCAAAGAAUCGAUUCAUAUUACGAUUUUUAUAAACCAUACGAGUAUUCCAGUUUUGAAAGUCUGUUUUUCUUGAAUGCAGUUAACACCAUAAGAGAUUACAUGCCCACGAAUUCUAAACAAUAUUCUCCCUUCAUUUCGAGAAGGCUUAUACAACCACACCAUUCGUUUUCUUUUGUUGAAAUCGGGCCGGCAUUAACUGUUAUCGCGAAAGAUAAUCAGGAGACCCUAAAUAAUAAUGAGACAGAAUAUGUUAUCUUGAGUUCAACGGGCAAUGAUAAUAACUUAGCCGUUAUUAAUGAUAAAAAGCUGAUUAAGAAUGGAGUUGGCCCUUUUUGUCCUUUGCAAUCAUUAACAAGUGAGGAUGAGAAUUUAUACAAAGCCUAUGUUCGGAUAUUUGAAGAAAUUUGUUUUAUAAGACAGAAACCAAAUAAGAUUACGGAUUCAAUGACAGCUAUUGACAACGACCGAAUUCCUAUUAUGCUGAAUUCUUUGGUUCCCUCAACCAAAUAUGGAGCCUGUCAAAUCAAUGUAUAUUCAUUCCCGGUAGGAAUGUUCCAAUUGUAUAACGGCACUUCUCUGGCUCCCGGCCUUCCUUCCGGACAACUCUUGCAGCUUUUGACGAACACUUCAACAUCACGAUCAAGAUUCGUCCAAAAGACAUAGUAUCUGCAUAAAGAUUUCAUCCCCACUAUCCCACAAACAUGAUCGCCGAAGCCUCCCGAUCAAUGGUGGCGUAAUUCUUUUCAGCCGCUGAAAGUGUCCUCGAUGCGUAAGCAAUCGGUUUCUCCUGGCCAGUAAGAAAUCGGUGUGCAAUAACAGCUCCUAGACCAUCUUCAGAAGCGUCACAAGAAAUCACGACAGGAAUGUUGGCUAAAUAAGGAAUUAUUCUGGCCAAAACCAACUCACAUUUUACUCGUUAGUCGGUGUAAAGGCGCUCAAAUAGAAUGUAAAUUUUUAUAUACGAUUCAUGAUAAUU